rnacentral:tRNA from 1 species
GGCCGCCUGACGAAAUGGCAUCGUGUUUGACUACGAAUCAGGAGAUUGCAGGUUCGACCCCUGCGGUGGUCA